CCGGGCGCUCCCCGCGUGGGGAACCAGCCUCAGCCCCUCCCUCGGGCACGGGCCCGCGCAGCGCUCCCCGCGAAGGCGGCGCUGACAACGCUAGGGAUUAGCUGGCGGGGGGGGAGGGGGCGCCACGGCAUGAGGCGCUCCCUCUGCGCCGCCCAACGAGCAGCACCGGGCCCGGGGAGCCGAGCCGAGCCCAGGAGACAGGAGAGCCGCACAAGGGGGGGCGCAGUGCCGCCGCGGGGCCGGUAGAAUUAAACCAUUCAUACGGGACACCGUCGGUAACGGCAGCAACCCUGACUCCCGUGCGCAUGCGCACUCACCUCGCCGGAGCCCGACUGGCGGGCAACGCACAGGCCGGAGAAGCGGCGCAAACGCGACAGAGCAGAGAUAAUGAGGCAGUGGAUGAUAGCUCGACCCAAGUAGACACAGCCAAACUAUCGGAGCACCUUCCUGGACAAAGAUGUGGAGUACCCCAAACACCACCACAGUGACUAGAUCAACAAAUGAGCGGUGGAUCUUCAGAGAGUUGCGCGUGCACACACAUGACAUGCAGUGGUAUAAUCAGCCCUUUGUACUGGAAAGACAGGUCUCAGCUGUAAUUUUGCAAACCUCCCACCCUCUACAAGACAUAGCGAUGCCAUCAGAAUCUUCACCCCUCUCUCCUCCUAGAGGCCAACUGGAGACUCUUCAGAGACACACCCACCCAUGUGGAGAAAUCAGCAGCAGAACUUUCCCGCUGCUCUUUCCUCGCAGCAAGGAGGGUCACAAGGAAAUGCCAUUCCCCAUGUUAAAAUCACUUCUUUGACUCAGCCAUACCUUUUGUUUUUAAAGGGAAAGUCAGGGCUAAAGUAAAGAGAUGAGAGGCGGUAAAAAAUAUCUGACUUCCAUACAAAUCCUGCAAGAUGAGCUCUUCAAGAUUUAGAAUCCGCCACCACGUCGAAUGGAAACAAUCAGCCUUGACAGAGGCCAGAAGAAGCUCAGGGCAAUCCUCAGAAGAAUCCAUUUCAAAGGGUGACUGGGCUAUAAAAAUGAGGGGCAAAAGCACCCCAGCAUAUUUCUCCAUCACUCUAUCUUAUACCUAAGAAGACAAAGGAACCAGACCUUUGACUUUGAGGGGGGCAUCCUGACCUGAGAGUUUGGUCACCAAUGUUGCUGGGAACAUGUGGUAAGGAUUUUACCUUGAACCAAGUAUAGUUUGUGAAAUUUUAGCUGUUAGAAAGCUUUUUAUCUUUACUUUUCUUGUAACCAUUUCUGACUUUAAUGCCUUAUACUUGUACUCACUUAAAAUCUCUUUAUAGUUAAAUAAACUUUGUUUAUUUUUUAAAUCAAAA